rnacentral:lncRNA from 1 species
ACAGUAUUGAAGUGAAGCAGUAAAAGAAAGCAUUAAGGAAAGAAAAGACACAAAGAGCCAAGUUAGUUUCACAGUAGAGGAAAUAAAGACAGUAAGUAAAUGCAAUUAAAGAGGCAAUAAAGUUACAAGUAGCAUCCAAUGGUAAAAGCCCAAAGAAAUCCCCAGUAGAGUCGACAUGCUGUCGACACCCCCUUUUUCUAAGGUGAAAUUGGGUUCAUGCAUUUGGGAGGACAACUCUAUACCUUUGCGAGAAUUGGGUUUCGGAGUUGGAGAGUUGCCACCUAAUAAUUAUG